UACGGAGGGGGCUAGCGUUGUUCGGAAUUACUGGGCGUAAAGCGCACGUAGGCGGCUUUGUAAGUUAGAGGUGAAAGCCCGGGGCUCAACUCCGGAAUUGCCUUUAAGACUGCAUCGCUCGAAUUGUGGAGAGGUAAGUGGAAUUCCGAGUGUAGAGGUGAAAUUCGUAGAUAUUCGGAAGAACACCAGUGGCGAAGGCGGCUCACUGGCUCGUUUCUGACGCUCAGGCGCGACAGCGUGGGGAUCAAACAGG
rnacentral:rRNA from 1 species